AUGAAGUAGAUGUUCAGUUGCUCCCCAGAGGCUGAGCAGAGUCCUAUGGCUCUUGUGCCUCUGAGUUAGGGAAAGCACAGGUAGAGGACUACCUGGCAGUCAUAGAUUUUAGAAGAAGAAGGUCUAGAGCAUUACACAUUGUUUCCAACUAUCUGGAACCCAAAGAAGCCUAAUACGUUAAAAGAACUCUAAGUGAUAACAGAAAGUCAAUUGUAGCGUCAGGACCUCAAUGAAGAAGACUCUCUGGUUAUUAUCAGGUUCACACACCACAGUAUCUCAUUGUUUGGCGACUGUUAUUAGGCUGUCCUUAAGAGCAAACUUGAGUGGAGUUUACCUUGUAAACUUACAUUGGAAAUUUACAUUACUGAAGGAACCCACUAGAAAGAAGACCUCACUAAGAAGCAGAAAUGGAGACUCCAUGGCAGCAGCAAUGGAGACCCCAACUUAACAGAAAUUUAGAAACAAUGGGUCUUUCAAGCUAA
rnacentral:lncRNA from 1 species